rnacentral:rRNA from 1 species
AGAGUUUGAUCCUGGCUCAGGAUGAACGCUGGCGGCGUGCCUAACACAUGCAAGUCGAACGAAGCGCCUGCGGCGGACCCCUCCGGGGGAAAGCCGCGGGGGACUGAGUGGCGGACGGGUGAGCAACGCGUGGGCAACCUGCCCCGUACCGGGGGACAACAGCCGGAAACGGCUGCUAAUACCGCAUAUUCCCGCGGGGCCGCAUGGCCCUGCGGGGAAAGCUCCGGCAGUACGGGAUGGGCCCGCGUCUGAUUAGCUUGUUGGCGGGGUAACGGCCCACCAAGGCUGCGAUCAGUAGCCGGCCUGAGAGGGCGGCCGGCCACAUUGGGACUGAGACACGGCCCAGACUCCUGCGGGAGGCAGCAGUGGGGGAUAUUGCACAAUGGGGGGAACCCUGAUGCAGCGACGCCGCGUGAACGAAGAAAUAUUUCGGUAUGUAAAGUUCUAUCAGCAGGGAAGAAAAUGACAGUACCUGACCAAGAAGCCCCGGCUAACUACGUGCCAGCAGCCGCGGUAAUACGUAGGGGGCGAGCGUUAUCCGGAUUCACUGGGCGUAAAGGGAGCGCAGGCGGCACGGCAAGUCCGGUGUGAAAGCCCGGGGCCCAACCCCGGGACUGCACUGGAAACUGCCGGGCUGGAGUGUCGGAGGGGCAGGCGGAAUUCCUAGUGUAGCGGUGAAAUGCGUAGAUAUUAGGAGGAACACCGGUGGCGAAGGCGGCCUGCUGGACGACGACUGACGCUGAGGCUCGAAAGCGUGGGGAGCAAACAGGAUUGGAUACCCUGGUAGUCCACGCCGUAAAC